rnacentral:rRNA from 1 species
GUCGCCGCGGUAAUACGAAGGGUGCAAGCGUUACUCGGAAUUACUGGGCGUAAAGCGUGCGUAGGUGGUUGUUUAAGUCUGCUGUGAAAGCCCUGGGCUCAACCUGGGAAUUGCAGUGGAUACUGGGCAACUAGAGUAAGGUAGAGGAUAGUGGAAUUUCCGGUGUAGCAGUGAAAUGCGUAGAGAUCGGAAGGAACAUCUGUGGCGAAGGCGACUAUCUGGGCCAUUACUGACACUGAGGCACGAAAGCGUGGGGAGCAAACAGGAUUAGAUACCCGGGUAGUCCCUGUCUCUUAUACAC